GGGUUGUGAGGUUAAGCGACUAAGCGUACACGGUGGAUGCCCUGGCAGUCAGAGGCGAUGAAGGGCGUGCUAAUCUGCGAUAAGCGCCGGUAAGGUGAUAUGAACCGUUAUAACCGGCGAUACCCGAAUGGGGAAACCCAGUGUGAUUCGUCACACUAUCAUUAACUGAAUCCAUAGGUUAAUGAGGCGAACCGGGGGAACUGAAACAUCUAAGUACCCCGAGGAAAAGAAAUCAACCGAGAUUCCCCCAGUAGCGGCGAGCGAACGGGGAGGAGCCCAGAGCCUGAAUCAGCAUGUGUGUUAGUGGAAGCGUCUGGAAAGGCGCGCGAUACAGGGUGACAGCCCCGUACACAAAAGCGCAUGUGCUGUGAGCUCGAUGAGUAGGGCGGGACACGUGGUAUCCUGUCUGAAUAUGGGGGGACCAUCCUCCAAGGCUAAAUACUCCUGACUGACCGAUAGUGAACCAGUACCGUGAGGGAAAGGCGAAAAGAACCCCGGCGAGGGGAGUGAAAAAGAACCUGAAACCGUGUACGUACAAGCAGUGGGAGCACAGGNNNNNNNNNNNNNNNNNNUACCUUUUGUAUAAUGGGUCAGCGACUUAUAUUCUGUAGCAAGGUUAACCGAAUAGGGGAGCCGGAGGGAAACCGAGUCUUAAUUGGGCGUUAAGUUGCAGGGUAUAGACCCGAAACCCGGUGAUCUAGCCAUGGGCAGGUUGAAGGUUGGGUAACACUAACUGGAGGACCGAACCGACUAAUGUUGAAAAAUUAGCGGAUGACCUGUGGCUGGGGGUGAAAGGCCAAUCAAACCGGGAGAUAGCUGGUUCUCCCCGAAAGCUAUUUAGGUAGCGCCUCGUGAAUUCAUCUCCGGGGGUAGAGCACUGUUUCGGCUAGGGGGCCAUCCCGGCUUACCAACCCGAUGCAAACUGCGAAUACCGGAGAAUGUUAUCACGGGAGACACACGGCGGGUGCUAACGUCCGUCGUGAAGAGGGAAACAACCCAGACCGCCAGCUAAGGUCCCAAAGUCAUGGUUAAGUGGGAAACGAUGUGGGAAGGCCCAGACAGCCAGGAUGUUGGCUUAGAAGCAGCCAUCAUUUAAAGAAAGCGUAAUAGCUCACUGGUCGAGUCGGCCUGCGCGGAAGAUGUAACGGGGCUAAACCAUGCACCGAAGCUGCGGCAGCGACACUGUGUGUUGUUGGGUAGGGGAGCGUUCUGUAAGCCUGUGAAGGUGUGUCGUGAGGCAUGCUGGAGGUAUCAGAAGUGCGAAUGCUGACAUAAGUAACGAUAAAGCGGGUGAAAAGCCCGCUCGCCGGAAGACCAAGGGUUCCUGUCCAACGUUAAUCGGGGCAGGGUGAGUCGACCCCUAAGGCGAGGCCGAAAGGCGUAGUCGAUGGGAAACGGGUUAAUAUUCCCGUACUUGGUGUUACUGCGAAGGGGGGACGGAGAAGGCUAUGUUGGCCGGGCGACGGUUGUCCCGGUUUAAGCGUGUAGGUGUGUGUUCCAGGUAAAUCCGGUUCACUUUAACACUGAGGCGUGACGACGAGGCACUACGGUGCUGAAGCAACAAAUGCCCUGCUUCCAGGAAAAGCCUCUAAGCAUCAGGUAACAUCAAAUCGUACCCCAAACCGACACAGGUGGUCAGGUAGAGAAUACCAAGGCGCUUGAGAGAACUCGGGUGAAGGAACUAGGCAAAAUGGUGCCGUAACUUCGGGAGAAGGCACGCUGACACGUAGGUGAAGUGAUUUACUCAUGGAGCUGAAGUCAGUCGAAGAUACCAGCUGGCUGCAACUGUUUAUUAAAAACACAGCACUGUGCAAACACGAAAGUGGACGUAUACGGUGUGACGCCUGCCCGGUGCCGGAAGGUUAAUUGAUGGGGUCAGCGCAAGCGAAGCUCCUGAUCGAAGCCCCGGUAAACGGCGGCCGUAACUAUAACGGUCCUAAGGUAGCGAAAUUCCUUGUCGGGUAAGUUCCGACCUGCACGAAUGGCGUAAUGAUGGCCAGGCUGUCUCCACCCGAGACUCAGUGAAAUUGAACUCGCUGUGAAGAUGCAGUGUACCCGCGGCAAGACGGAAAGACCCCGUGAACCUUUACUAUAGCUUGACACUGAACAUUGAGCCUUGAUGUGUAGGAUAGGUGGGAGGCUUUGAAGUGUGGACGCCAGUCUGCAUGGAGCCGACCUUGAAAUACCACCCUUUAAUGUUUGAUGUUCUAACGUGGACCCGUUACCCGGGUUGCGGACAGUGUCUGGUGGGUAGUUUGACUGGGGCGGUCUCCUCCUAAAGAGUAACGGAGGAGCACGAAGGUUGGCUAAUCCUGGUCGGACAUCAGGAGGUUAGUGCAAUGGCAUAAGCCAGCUUGACUGCGAGCGUGACGGCGCGAGCAGGUGCGAAAGCAGGUCAUAGUGAUCCGGUGGUUCUGAAUGGAAGGGCCAUCGCUCAACGGAUAAAAGGUACUCCGGGGAUAACAGGCUGAUACCGCCCAAGAGUUCAUAUCGACGGCGGUGUUUGGCACCUCGAUGUCGGCUCAUCACAUCCUGGGGCUGAAGUAGGUCCCAAGGGUAUGGCUGUUCGCCAUUUAAAGUGGUACGCGAGCUGGGUUUAGAACGUCGUGAGACAGUUCGGUCCCUAUCUGCCGUGGGCGCUGGAGAACUGAGGGGGGCUGCUCCUAGUACGAGAGGACCGGAGUGGACGCAUCACUGGUGUUCGGGUUGUCAUGCCAAUGGCACUGCCCGGUAGCUAAAUGCGGAAGAGAUAAGUGCUGAAAGCAUCUAAGCACGAAACUUGCCCCGAGAUGAGUUCUCCCUGAGACUUAGAGUCUCCUGAAGGAACGUUGAAGACGACGACGUUGAUAGGCCGGGUGUGUAAGCGCAGCGAUGCGUUGAGCUAACCGGUACUAAUGAACCGUGAGGCUUAACCUUACAACGCCGAAG
rnacentral:rRNA from 1 species